UUAAGUUCCAAACCCAGGACAUACAACUGAGGAUCUUGUGAUUGAUCAAGGUGGUAAAGCCACUCCUCCUUCUCUAUUUUGGGCUGAUUUCUCUGCUCUCCAUACAGGUCCUGUGCAUAUACAUUAUGGCUUCUGGUUUAGCGUUUUUAUGAAUUUCUUGAAUAUACAAACAAUAUUUCAGCUUUCUGAUUCCAGAUUACUGCCCUUCAACCACUUCAUACCAGUUCACAAGCUCCACCCUCUGACAUCUACUUCCUCGAGCAAACCGCAUGUAUUUCACAAGGUGAUCACAGCUGCUGUAGUCACGACUUCAAUGGCCACGUCAUGUCCAGAAGACAGCAUGUCAUGGCGCUGCUCCCUAUCGUCUGGCUCCCACAGUCUUCCCAACACCUAUUCCAUCAUGUUCCCUGGGCCUUAGAAGGAGGACACAGAUGUCCUAUUAGGGCUGAGCACUCAACAGUUACUUGUUCUUUACACUUUGAUCAGUUAUGAGUCUCGGCUUUACUGUGGCCCAUUGCAAAAGAAGCUUCCCUGACCAAGGCUGAAAUAGUACUAGUCUAUGGGUAUAAAUGUAAAUAUUUAGAAGGCAGGUUCAUUACAUGUCCAUUUAAUAAAACAUCCAUUGUAGAUUCCUCCAGUCCCUGGCAUAUAUUCUAUCUCAUGGAUCUGGCUACAAAUUCAAUCAGAAAGAGAUUGGUAACCCCCAGAAUGUUUUGUCUAGUAGGUCUUUCUGUGUUAUAGAAUGCAGGGGCCACAGUUGCAUGACUUCUGAUGGCUUUUCUCCCUCAAUACCCUGCAUAGGACCUUCUGACACUAUGAACACUAGCCAUCAGGGAGGAAGUAUCUAGUUCAGUUGGUUUGAUUUCCUUAUGUCCUGUAGUGUGUGUAGUGUGUAGUGUGUAGUGUUUUCACCAGUGGGGUCUCACCAUCUAGUUCUAGUAGGCCACUAAAAGCAAUGGCGAUAACUUGUAUGGUUUUGUAAGCCUCUCAGGACUGACUGUCAAACGACUCAUAUGGAGUUUUGGUUUAAAAACUCAUGACUACUGGGAGCAGUAUUAUCUACCCAGGCAGAAUACCAUCAUUCAAGACCUUUAUUUUUUAAGAUUGCAUUUAUUUUAGCUAGCCUAUAAACUAGAUUUUAAUACGCAUAUAGAAACCUACUACUUUGUGGGGUAUAUGGGUUUUGCUAUGAGAUUUUACAUAGCACACUAAUUUUUAGUAAUAUAUAUGACACAUCGUAGCAGAACUACCUGUGUAUCACUGAAAUAAAUGGAGUGCACAGUUGUAACAAAAUGUAUGUGUUUGUGUCACUACAACAAACACCAAAUGCAACUACCUUUAUAAGGAAAAAUGUUUUAUUUGUCUGGUAGUUUUUGGAGGUUGAAAAUCAAGCCUUCAAUGUGUGAGCCUUUAGAAGAUACUUGACAUCUAAACUAUAUCAAUGUGCAUGUAUAACAGUUUUUAACCAGUGAGAUGGUUCAGCAUGUAAGAGUACUUGCCAUUAAGCCUGACAAUUGCAAUUCAGUCCUUGUGAUCCACAUGGUGAAAGAAGAUAACCAACUUCUAAACGUUGUCCUCUAACUUCCACACAGCUCUUUGUCACAGCUUUAGAGCUUUAGAAGUCCGAGGCUAAGGAACCAGCAGGGUUAGUGUCUGGUGGCAGUUUGCUCUCCACUUCCAACAUGGCACUUUGUUGCUAUGUUUUCAACAACAGAAGAGCUGGAACAUGAAGGGCUCGGUAGCGGUAGCCUCAUUUAGAAAAGCAGUAAACUUUCUACAAAGUCAUUGUGAUCCUGACAAAAUACCAGCUUUUUCUUUGCAGAAUUUUUAAGCUUUUUUUUCAAGAGACAUGGGACGCACAAAAUCAAAAAAAGCAUAAAAUAAGAGAAUCUUAAAGAAAAAAGCAACAUGAAAGAACUACUGUAUCAGGUCUCAGCUGUCAUAAGUAAUUAUUAUAAAAUUAUAGUUAUUCAAAGAGUACAUAAUUGACAUAGUAAAUGUCAGUAUAGAAAACACUAGUGAUAAAGGAAAGGGUAAAUGAAUGUAAACAUUAAAAUUGAGAACUGUAUUCACAAAGAGACGAUAUCAGAAGAGAACAAAACAAGACAGUGGAAUUAGUAAUAUGCAGAAAGACUUAUGCCAAGAAUAGGUAAGAAAAGCCCACAAUUAAUAAUAAAAGACUAACAAGCCAACUGAAAAUAGGUAAGAUUAUUCAGAAAGUGGAAUAUACAAUAUGUAGAAAAGAAAUCAAAAGAGUAAGUGCCAUUAGUAAUCACAAAAACUACAAGUAAAAUCAAGAUAAACUCACUAUAAAUCAAAGAGAAAACCCCUGAUCAGAAAGAUUAAGAGGGGCUGGGAGAUGACUCAGCAGGUGAAGUGUUUGCCAUGUAAUCACAAAGGCCUGAGUUUAUCUCCCCAGCAGCCACAUAAGAGCUGAAUGUGGUGCUUGCGCUUGAGUUUGGAGACAGAUGGGUCACUGGAACUUUCUGGGCAACCAGCUUAACCCAAUCAAAGAGCUCAAAUUGUGAUGAGAGACCCUGCCUCAAAAUACAAAGUCGAAGGCAACUGAAGAAGACAACACUGGGUGUCUGUCUACCUCUGUCCUACAUAUGCAUACAUAAUACACACAUACACAUACAUACAUACAUACAUACUCACAUACACAUACAUAUAUACAUACACACACAUACAUACAUACAUACAUACAUUACAUACAUAGAGGGGGAGAAUGAAUUAAACACCAAGGCUAAAGGGUUGACAAUAUAAAAUAUUGGUGAGGCAUUUUGAUGUUAUCUCCUAAAAACGAAGAUAUGCAUGUUAUAUUUGUGCCAUGACAUAGAACCUUCUCCAAAGCUAUUUCCCUUGCCCUGAGUCCAUGGCCUCACAGUUCAAGGUGGCCAUGGACAACACAAUGUCCAUUGGACAAACAAGGGUAAAUGGCAUGUCACUUUGGAGUAUUGAUCAUAAAAUUGUCGUUUGCAAUGAUUAAUGUUGAUUUAUCAGUUCGGCAGGAAUGUUUAAGAGGGAGCUUCUAGAUUGGGUUAAUUGAGGUGAGCGUUCCCACCCUGAAAGUAGGCUGUAAUCUGCCAUGGUCUGGGGCCCAAGACUGAACAAAAAUGAGAAAGUGAGCUGAGCAGCAGACUUCAUCUCUGCUUCCGAACGUAGAUGCCAUGUGAGAGCUGCCCUCCUGCCAGCAAGCCUUCCCACUGUGCCCUCAGACUGUGAGCCAAAAUCAACUUCUCUUUCCCUAAGUCAAUUUUGCCACGAGGACAAAAAUAAAAGUAAACAGCACACCCUCUGUUAUCCUCCAUUCUAACCUCCUCCUUUUAAUAAGAUUCUAAUGCCCAGAGUGACCUUAAAAAUGGGACUAGCCAUCCUUGUUUCUAAGAGCUGGGGUGCCUUUUAAGAGAUUUAAUGGAAGCUACAAGUGAACUUCUAUUGUAUUAAGUCACUACAAUUUUAGGAUUAAUCCAUGAAGGCAGCUAAUAUAUUGUUGUGUGCACAUGAGUAUGCACAUGACACACAAACACACACAUACACAGUCAUAUUCAUGUUUUUCUCAGACUGCUGAUUCACAUUGCAACACUUCAAAAGUAAAGCCCCUGUGCUACACAUCUCACUGCAUCCUCAGUGUGAGUUAAAUGCCCCUGUGUGAGUCCUGUACCCUUCACAGUCUCACUAGCUAAGAGGAAAUAGUCGUGAGUGUUAAGUGCCAAAUCCAGAUUCACUUCUACACAGGCUUCAAUAGAACCCUUGUUACUUUUGGCUGGAUGAUAUGAACAAGUUAUUAAAACCUGUGUGUGUUUCCCUUUCUAAACAUUAUAUAUUCAUUUUUUUGUUUUUGAGACAGGGUCUCAUGGAGCAUAGCCUGGCCUUGAACUCACUAUAUGGCUAAGGAUGACCUUGAACUCCUUAUUCCCCUGCCUCCACCUCUCAGAUCCUGGGGUUAUAAGCAGGCAUCAGAAAAUCCAAUAUCCCUUUCUCAACGUAUGUAUUAUUGCAAAGGCUGGUGAGACAACUCAACAGGUAAAGGGUCUUGCUACCAAAUCUGAGGACCUGUGUACAAUCUCCAGGAUCCACAUGAUGGAAGGAGAGAACAGACUAUCACCCACAAGUUGCCCUCUAACCAUCAUGUACACAUUAUCACAGGC